rnacentral:rRNA from 1 species
UACGUAGGGUGCGAGCGUUGUCCGGAAUUAUUGGGCGUAAAGAGCUCGUAGGCGGCUUGUCGCGUCGGAUGUGAAAGCCCGGGGCUUAACCCCGGGUCUGCAUUCGAUACGGGCAGGCUAGAGUUCGGUAGGGGAGAUCGGAAUUCCUGGUGUAGCGGUGAAAUGCGCAGAUAUCAGGAGGAACACCGGUGGCGAAGGCGGCGACCUGGGUAGAUACUGACGCUGAGGUGCGAAAGCGUGGGGAGCAAACAGG